rnacentral:rRNA from 1 species
AACGUAGGUACCGAGCGUUAUCCGGAUUUACUGGGCGUAAAGCGCGUUCAGGCGGUUUGGCAAGUCGGGCAUGAAAUCUCUCGGCUCAACCGGGAGAGGUUGUCCGAUACUGCUGGACUUGAGGGCAGUAGAGGGUGGUGGAAUUCCGGGUGUAGUGGUGAAAUGCGUAGAUAUCCGGAGGAACACCAGAGGCGAAAGCGGCCACCUGGACUGCACCUGACGCUGACACGCGAAAGCUAGGGGAGCGAACGGG